GCAGGCAGGCAGGCAGCAGGCAGGGGACAUCCACCCUGCCUGCUGCCUGCCUGCCUCU
rnacentral:miRNA from 1 species